AUAUAGUAAGGCGCAUUUUUAGACGAAAAAAACGACCAUGUAUAGUAAGGCGUUUUUGGACGAAAUUUUUAGCCGAGAAAAAACAACCAUGUAUAGGAAGGCCUUUUUAGCC